GGUUGAUUCGAUUCCAUUUUAUACAAGUAUAUGAAGCAAAGGAACAAUGGACGAUAUGAAGCAGCAACGGAAGGAAGAGGUGAACCUACAUAUCAGCUCUUGGAAUUGCAUCGGCAUCAACAUCCAUGUGUUCAAGGAGUUGAUAUCUGCAUGGAACCUCGGCCCUGGAGAUCGAUUGGUACGAGGAGCAGGUGUUGGUCGCCAUUGCGACACUUGUGCUGGUCGGGCAAUCUGGCACUGUUGGCAUAUACCCAGUAUAUUGAUGUGUCCUCCAAAUAUUGAUGCUUUCCUGGUUGGGAGUACCAUUCGGAGAUGAAGGUACCAGUUUAUUCAACCAUAUAAUAGAAGUAUGUUUGGCAUUUAGCCUUUUUUUUGUUACUUGAUAGAGUGUGGUUACCUACGUAUUGGUAAUCUAUUUUUUAAAACAAGCUUAUAGAAUGGAAGAUAUGAAUAUCUAUGUGUCGCAGUUUACUGAACCCAUUGAAAUUCUA